CCCCGGUGCUGAGUGUGGGGUUUCUCUGCUCCUCAUCCGCUGCUCCCGUCGCUCAGCCCGGAGCUCUGUGACAUUAAAGGGCGCUAUUUAUGAAGUCCUCAUUUCCUGACACCCGAUAACGUCUCCCCUUCCACCACCCACUGCUGCUGGGACUCCACAGCUCGCCGUGCUCCACGUACCCCCCUGCGCUGAGAGGGGGGGGGGGGGGGUCUGCCCUGCAGUGUCACAGCCCCCAGGGCUGAAUGGCCCCGUGGUGGUGGCACUGCCCGUGGCCCCAUAGCUGCACCGAGCAGUGGGACUGACCGUGGGGGGCAGCACCGGCACGCAGCAAUGCCACACAGUGCGGGAUCAUGGAGUGGCAGAAGGGUUGGGGUUGGAAGGGAUUCUAUGGAUCGGAGAACCAUGGGAUCGUGGUGUGGUUGGUUGGAGGGGUCCCUAUAGAUCAUAAAACCAUGAGAUCAUGGCGUGGUUGGAUUGGGAGGAACCCUAUAGACUGCAGAGCCAUGGGAUCAUGGCAUGGUUGGACUGGGAGGAACCCUAUAGACUGCAGAGCCAUGGGAUCGUGGCAUGGAACCCUACAGAGCACAGAACAAUGCCAGGACAUGGGGGGCAACAGGAAAGCUGGGAAGGACUUCUUAUAAGGGUGUGCAGUGAUCGGAUGAGGGGAAGCGGCUUUGAGCUGGAAUAGGGGGGGGUCUGGAGUGGAUAUUGGGAAGGAAUUCUUCACUGUGAGGGUGGGGGGACGCUGGGAUGGGGCACCGGGGGGGCUGAGGGUGCCCCCUCCCUGGGUGUGAUGGGGCUCUGAGCAGCCCGGUGUGCUGGGAGCCCGCCCUGCUGGCAGCGGGGGAUGCAGCGAGGUGACCAAUGGGCCAAUAUCCAACCCAAACCACGCUGUGAUUCAGUGGUUCUGUGAUCUAUGGGAUCCGUUCGAACUCAACCAUCCCAUGAUCCCAUGGUUCUGUGAUCCAUAGAAUCCCUCCCAACCCAACCAUCCCAUGAUCCCAUGGUUCUGUGAUCCAUAGAAUCCCUCCCAACCCAACCAUGCCACGAUCCCAUGGUUCUGUGAUCUGUAGGGUCCCUCUCAACCCAACCACGCCAUGAUCCCAUGGUUCUGUGAUCUGUAGGGUCCCUCUCAACCCAACCACGCCAUGAUCCCAUGGUUCUGUGAUUCAUAGCGUCCCUCCCAACCCAGCCAUGCCAUGAUCCCAUGGUUCUGUGAUCCAUAGGGUCCCUCCCAACCCAAUCAUCCCAUGAUCCCAUGGUUCCGCAAUCUAUAGGGUCCCUCCCAACCCAACCAUGCCAUGAUCCCAUGGUUCUGUGAUCCAUAGGGUCCCUCUCAACCCAACCAUGCCAUGAUCCCAUGGUUCUAUGAUCUAUAGGGUCUCCUCUGUGAUCCAUAGGGUCCCUCCUAACCCAACCAUGCUGUGAUCCCAUGGUUCUGUGAUCCAUAGAAUCCCUCCCAACCCAACCACCCCAUGAUCCCAUGGUUCUGUGAUCCAUAGGGUCCCUCUAAACCCAACCAUGCCAUGAUCCCAUGGUUCUAUGAUCCGUAGGGUCCUUCCCAACCCAACCAUGCCAUGAUCCCAUUGUUCUGUGAUCCAUAGGGUCCCUCCCAA
rnacentral:lncRNA from 1 species